rnacentral:lncRNA from 1 species
CUAGAAUGACGUCGAAGUCCUUCAAUUUCUUGAACAUCAACAUACGGAUGGGCAUUAUCCAAUCGCCCAACCGCACUGGACAAGACGAACACUCCAUCCGGACUAGAAAGUCACGUCCGGGGCCCGAUACCCUCCAAGUGCUUUUACUCUCUUGUAGUUCUAUGUCAUGCAUGCGUGCAAAUGACCUACUAAUGAAUGAAUGCGUAGCACCUGUAUCAAACAUGGCCCUGGAGCGAACUCCGUUAAUUAAAACCAUACCUGCGAGCACAUGGCGAUCCUCCGCCUCAGCAGGUUCCUCGGCUUGAGUUUGGGCGGCGAAUACCCGCCCGCUCGGAGCUGAUCUCGU